UGGGGAAUCUUGCACAAUGGGCGCAAGCCUGAUGCAGCAACGCCGCGUGAACGAUUAAGGUCUUCGGAUCGUAAAGUUCUGUUGCAGGGGAAGAUAAUGACGGUACCCUGUGAGGAAGCCCCGGCUAACUACGUGCCAGCAGCCGCGGUAAUACGUAGGGGGCUAGCGUUAUCCUGAUUUACUGGGCGUAAAGGGUGCGUAGGAGGUAGUUCAAGUCGGUGGUUAAAGGCUACGGCUCAACCGUAGGUAGCAUCAGAAACUGGAAGACUUGAGUGCAGGAGAGGAAAGUGGAAUUCCCAGUGUAGCGGUGAAAUGCGUAGAUAUUGGGAGCAACACCAGUGGCGACGGCGGCUUUCUGGACUGCAACUGAAACGGAGGCAUGAAAGAGUGGGUAGCAAACAGG
rnacentral:rRNA from 1 species